rnacentral:lncRNA from 1 species
UUUAGGGGGAAACUAAAACAAAACUUUAAAAAAUUUGUUUAGCAUUAGCUAAUAAUAAAAGUAUUAAGUAAAAUGGGUCGUACUCAAAAAAAUAAAAAAAAGAAGGCUGAGAAGAGAAAGUACAGCAUGUCAACUAAUCCAAGGAGGCUUAUGUUUCUCCUAAAGUACACAAUCAAUGAGCUUCCAAUAAGCCCAUUGGCAACCAUCAGAAAUAUUCUGAGAUCCAGUUUCUAAAAUCUCCCAGGAUGGUAACAAAUGGCAAGCCGCGGCUUAUGUCUAAGAAUUGUAAGUGGAGUUCUCAAAAUGCAGGUCGAGCGCUGUUGAAGUUUAAGAUGAAAAAAAGUAGAGUUUACCUCAUACUAAAGAUUUAGCAUGACAUAAAAAUAUGUUGUUGUGGUGUGCCGGUUGCGUAUAAAGUUUUACAAUUUGGAUAUCACUGUCGAACACAAUUUAAAAAGCGGAUUAUUCAUAAACUUUAAAUUCAAUAAAUUAUCAAAAUUUUUAUCACUAUUGUUUAUGUAUCGGGUUUUUGUUUGAAUAAAUUUAAUAACUUAAAAAUAA